rnacentral:rRNA from 1 species
UACGGGGGGAGCAAGCGUUGUUCGGAUUUACUGGGCGUAAAGGGCGCGUAGGCGGUCAGCACAAGUCAGUUGUGAAAUCUCCGGGCUUAACUCGGAAAGGUCAACUGAUACUGUGCGACUAGAGUGCGGAAGGGGCAACUGGAAUUCUCGGUGCAGCGGUGAAAUGUGUAGAUAUCGAGAGGAACACCUGCGGCGAAGGCGGGUUGCUGGGCCGACACUGACGCUGAUGCGCGAAAGCGUGGGGAGCGAACAGG